AUUGAACGCUGGCGGCAGGCCUAACACAUGCAAGUCGAACGGUAACAGGAAGAAGCUUGCUUCUUUGCUGACGAGUGGCGGACGGGUGAGUAAUGUCUGGGAAACUGCCUGAUGGAGGGGGAUAACUACUGGAAACGGUAGCUAAUACCGCAUAACGUCGCAAGACCAAAGAGGGGGACCUUCGGGCCUCUUGCCAUCGGAUGUGCCCAGAUGGGAUUAGCUAGUAGGUGGGGUAACGGCUCACCUAGGCGACGAUCCCUAGCUGGUCUGAGAGGAUGACCAGCCACACUGGAACUGAGACACGGUCCAGACUCCUACGGGAGGCAGCAGUGGGGAAUAUUGCACAAUGGGCGCAAGCCUGAUGCAGCCAUGCCGCGUGUAUGAAGAAGGCCUUCGGGUUGUAAAGUACUUUCAGCGGGGAGGAAGGGAGUAAAGUUAAUACCUUUACUUAUUGACGUUACCCGCAGAAGAAGCACCGGCUAACUCCGUG
rnacentral:rRNA from 1 species